GAAAGGGGCGGUAAUCCAGAUAAUGUCCUUCGGGACCAAGAUUAUCGGCAUUGGAGCGGCCUAUCUCCUAUCAGCUUGUUGGUGAGGUAACGGCUCACCAAGGCAACGACGGGUAGCGGGACUGAGAGGUUGGCCCGCCACAUCGGGACUGAGACACUGCCCGGACCUCCACGGAGGGCUGCAGUAACGGAUAUUGGGCAAUGGGCGAAAGCCUGACCCAGCAAUGCCGCGUGCAGGAUGAAGCCCCUAGGGGUGUAAACUGCUGUCAGGGGUCAGAAAGCUGGUUUCGGCCAGUUGAUCAACCCCAGAGGAAGUCACGGCUAACUUCGUGCCAGCAGCCGCGGUAAUACGAAGGUGGCAAGCGUUAUUCGGAAUCAUUGGGCUUAAAGGGCACGCAGGCGGAACAGUGUGUGUUGUGUGAAAUCCCCCGGCUUAACCGGGGAAUUGCACAGCAAACUGCUGUUCUUGAGGCAGGUAGGGGUGCAUGGAACUCUUGGUGGAGCGGUGGAAUGCGUAGAUAUCAAGAGGAACGCCAGAGGUGAAGACGGUGCACUGGGCCUGUCCUGACGCUGAGGUGCGAAAGCGUGGGGAGCGAACGGGAUUAGAUACCCCGGUAGUCCACGCCGUAAACGAUGUCUACUAGGUCGUGGGUGUUCUGACACAUUCACGGCCGGAGCAAAAGUGUUUAGUAGACCGCCUGGGGAGUACGGCCGCAAGGUUAAAACUCAAAUGAAUUGACGGGGGCUCACACAAGCGGUGGAGCAUGUGGAUUAAUUCGAAGCAACGCGCAGAACCUUACCUGGGUUUGACAUGCUUGGAUGCCUGCUCUGAAAGGAGUUAGGCUGCCUUCGGGUGAAACUUGCACAGGUGCUGCAUGGCUGUCGUCAGCUCGUGUCGUGAGAUGUCGGGUUAAGUCCUUUAACGAGCGAAACCCUUGCCGUUAGUUGCCGGCGAGUAAUGUCGGGGACUCUAACGGGACUGCCGGUGUUAAACCGGAGGAAGGUGGGGAUGACGUCAAGUCCUCAUGGCCUUUAUGCCCAGGGCUUCACACGUGUUACAAUGGCAAUUACAGAGCGACGCGAUACCGCGAGGUGGAGCAAAUCGCAAAAAAAUUGCCUCAGUUCGGAUUGCAGGCUGGCAAUUCGCCUGCAUGAGGUCGGAAUCGCUAGUAAUCGCGUAUCA
rnacentral:rRNA from 1 species